rnacentral:rRNA from 1 species
ACGGUACCUGACGAGGAAGCCACGGCUAACUACGUGCCAGCAGCCGCGGUAAUACGUAGGUGGCGAGCGUUGUCCGGAAUUAUUGGGCGUAAAGGGAGCGCAGGUGGGAAAGUAAGUCUGCUUUAAAAGUGCGGGGCUCAACCCCGUGAGGGAGUGGAAACUAUUUUUCUUGAGUGCAGGAGAGGAAAGCGGAAUUCCUAGUGUAGCGGUGAAAUGCGUAGAUAUUAGGAGGAACACCAGUGGCGAAGGCGGCUUUCUGGACUGUAACUGACACUGAGGCUCGAAAGCCAGGGGAGCGAACGGGAUUAGAUACCCCGGUAGUCCUGGCCGUAAACGAUGGAUACUAGGUGUAGGAGGUAUCGACCCCUUCUGUGCCGGAGUUAACGCAAUAAGUAUCCCGCCUGGGGAGUACGAUCGCAAGAUUGAAACUCAAAGGAAUUGACGGGGGCCCGCACAAGCGGUGGAGUAUGUGGUUUAAUUCGACGCAACGCGAAGAACCUUACCAAGGCUUGACAUUGAGUGAAAAUGCUAGAGAUAGCAUCCUUUCCUUCGGG